AGGGGAACAUAUGGCAGCAGGUACUUCAAUUGGCGUUCAUCUUGGAAAUGAUUAAUACAGUGCCCUUUGUGAUCGGAAUUUUUUAUCAACCUCUCCAAAACCUCUUCAUCCCUGUGUUUCUGAACUGCUGGCUGGCAAAACGUGCUUUGGAAAACAUGGUUAAUGAUUUUCAUCGUGCUAUUCAGCGGACACAGUCAGCCAUGUUCAAUCAGCUCCUCAUCCUCAUCUCCA